AAGAACCUUUACCAGGUCUUGACAUCCCUUGACAGCCUAAGGAAAUUAGGUGUUCCGACUUCGGUUAGACAAGGAGACAGGUGGUGCAUGGUUGUCGUCAGCUCGUGUCGUGAGAUGUUGGGUUAAGUCCCGCAACGAGCGCAACCCUUAUUCUUAGUUGCCAGCACUAACGGUGGGCACUCUAAGGGAGACUGCCGGUGACAACCGGAGGAAGUGGGGAUGACGUCAAAUCAUCAUGCCCUUUAUGACCUGGGCUACACACGUGCUACAAUGGCCUAUACAAAGGGUAGCGAAGCUGUGAGGUGGAGCCAAUCCCAAAAAGUAGGUCUCAGUUCGGAUUGUAGGCUGCAACUCGCCUACAUGAAGUCGGAAUCGCUAGUAAUCGCGGAUCAGCAUGCCGCGGUGAAUACGUUCCCGGGCCUU
rnacentral:rRNA from 1 species